UUAAUUAUUAUGGUUUUUUCUCAGACUAAAUGUAUACAAGAGUAUAAAUACACUCUGGCAGACAAAAUUAUGCCUACCAAAGCAACAGAGGUAUAUAAUCAGGGUGGGAGAUGUACCCAAAGGGCAAUUUCUCUCUAAUGAUCCUUCCGCAGGUUCACCUACGGAAA
rnacentral:misc_RNA from 1 species